UUGCAGAAAAGCAAUGUGUCUGUCUAAAAAGAGCUACAGUGUGCAUUGGUGGCACACAGCAGCCUCCUUGGUAAUACAAACCACCUAUUGCUUGUCUGUAAUGCCCUAAGGGCCUCCCAAAGACCA
rnacentral:snoRNA from 1 species